GAGCCCGCCCCGCCGCGCUUUACGGUAGCGUCGCGCUGGGCUGUGCGGCGCGGUGCCCGCACGGAGGUCACCGAGCGGCGGCGGCGGUGCCGCGGCUCCGGCUCCAGCAUGUGGCGGGUGUUGGCACGACGAGUGGCCCGGGGCGCGGCGGCGGCUCCUCGGGGGCACUGCCGAGCGCUCAGUGCCGCUGGAGCCGGCCGCGGACCGGCGGUUGGGGCUGGAGCGCUGAACCGCGGCCCGGUGUGGGGCGGCCCCCUGCACCGGCCUGGCGGGCUCCUGCUGCCUCCUGCCUGGCCUCGGCUCAUCCCGUGCCGCUGCUGCAGCCUCCCGGCACACCAGAAGGUGGCCUUGCCAGCUCUGUCCCCCACGAUGCAGAUGGGCACCAUUACACGCUGGGAAAAGAAGGAGGGUGACAAGAUCAAUGAAGGGGACCUCAUAGCAGAGGUGGAGACAGACAAAGCAACAGUUGGCUUUGAGAGCUUGGAUGAAUGCUACAUGGCCAAGAUCCUGGUGCCAGAAGGAACAAGGGAUGUUCCUAUUGGGGCCAUAAUAUGUAUCACAGUAGAAAAGCCUGAAUAUAUUGAUGCCUUUAAAAAUUAUACUCUAGAUUCUGCAGCAUCUGCCCCCCCUGCAGCCUCAGUGCCUCCCCCUCAAGCUGCAGCUCCCUCACCACCACCUCAGCCUUCUCCUCAGGCUCCUGGCAGCUCUUACCCUCCUCAUAUGCAGGUCACUCUCCCUGCCCUGUCACCUACCAUGACAAUGGGCACAGUGCAGAGAUGGGAGAAGAAGGUCGGGGAGAAACUGAAUGAGGGAGACUUACUGGCAGAAAUUGAGACAGAUAAAGCCACAAUAGGCUUUGAAGUGCAGGAGGAAGGCUACUUGGCAAAAAUCUUAGUGCCUGAAGGAACAAGAGAUGUGCCAUUAGGAACAGCUCUCUGCAUCAUUGUGGAGAAAGAGUCUGAUAUUCCAGCCUUUGCUGACUACCAGCCCACCGCGGUAGCAGACAUCAAGGCACAAGCUCCUCCUGCCCCUCCUCCUCCUCCUCCAGUGGUGGCAACUCCUGCUGCUGCUCCGCCGCCUCAGCCUGCUGUUCCUUCCACUCCAGCAGUCCCUACAGCUGGGCUGCCUCCCCGGAAAGGAAGGGUCCUGGUUAGUCCCCUGGCAAAGAAAAUCGCAGCAGAGAAAGGAAUUGACCUUGCCCAAGUGAAAGGUACUGGACCAGAUGGUAGAAUCAUAAAGAAAGAUGUGGAGUCAUUUGUGCCAUCAAAGGUUGCUCCAGCUCCAGCAGUAGGGGCAGUUCCUGCAGCUGCUGCAGUUGCAGCAGCACCAGAGGGGACCUUCACAGAUAUCCCUAUCAGCAACAUUCGGAAGGUCAUUGCUCAGCGGCUGCUGCAGUCUAAACAAACAAUACCUCACUACUACCUUUCUAUUGAUAUAAAUAUGGGAGAAGUACUGGUGCUAAGGAAAGAACUCAAUCAGAUGGUCUCAGGUAACACUAAGCUUUCUGUCAACGACUUCAUAAUUAAAGCUUCUGCUCUGGCUUGCUUGAAGGUGCCUGAGGCAAAUUCUUCAUGGAUGGACACAGUUAUUAGACAAAAUCAUGUAGUGGAUGUUAGCGUUGCAGUUAAUACUCCUGCAGGGCUUAUAACCCCUAUUGUGUUUAAUGCACAUAUAAAGGGCCUGGCUUCCAUUAGUAAGGAUGUGGUUUCUUUGGCAGCCAAAGCCCGAGAAGGUAAACUUCAACCUCAUGAAUUCCAGGGUGGUACUUUCACAAUUUCCAAUUUAGGAAUGUAUGGGAUUAAGAAUUUCUGUGCUAUUAUCAAUCCACCUCAAGCCUGCAUCCUUGCAGUUGGUUCCUCAGAGAAAAGGCUGGUGCCAGCGGAUAACGAGAAAGGAUUUGAUGUGGCCAGUGUGAUGUCUGUUACACUUAGCUGUGACCAUCGUGUUGUAGACGGAGCAGUUGGAGCACAGUGGCUUGCUGAGUUCAAGAAUUUCCUUGAAAAGCCAGUAACCAUGCUGCUAUAAUUUAACCAUGCAAGCAAAGAUUUUCUGGAUCACAUUGUUUUGUUUUAAACAAGCUAUUUAGACAUGUCCUUUUCUACAUGCAUUUGAGGUAUUCACCCCUGAAAAUUAGAAGGUCAAUUUAAAGAAACCCAACUCAUCACCAUCUGAAAGUUAGGAUUCUCAUUCUGAGCUUUUUCCUUGUUCUGUCAUCUGUGAACAUGAACUGGACAGAAGAAUGCAGUCUUUAAGGAUCUGGCUUGGCAACCAGCACUGUGAUAAACAAUACCCGUUUUCCUUUGUUAAAUACCGCUGUAGUUGUUUCUUCAUCCACCAAUUCUGGCAGAUCUAGUUGUAAUUUGUAUUUUUCAGGGACUUCAAUGAUUAUGUCAUCCUAAACCAAGAAAAUCAAAAUACUUGAUUAACUAUUUGACAACGAAUUAGCAGUGAGCAUUUCUAGGAAUUGGAUACUAGACAGAAAACACAAGAUCGUUAUUUCUGCCAGCUUACCUUUGAAAUUCUCAGCUCGCACUCAGAAACAGAGCUAACCUUAGGCAAUUCAAUUCUGAGUUCAAUUUUGAGUGGUUUCUUGUUUGCAUCCUUUACAGUGAUCAUUUCAUAGACAGGGGUACUUAGCUUCUCUGGCAUUUCAGUACUAGCAAUUUCCUCUAUCAGAUGCCCUUUAGACUGUGUCACACUUUCUUCCUUCAGCAGCACCGAAGCAUUGCUGCAGUCCUCAGCUCCCAUCGUGUGUAGCAGCUCAUCGAGUGUUAGUUCUUUCAAGAAAAAGAAAUUUUUCACACAUACCACUCCGUUACAUAAGUGUAAUGUUAUGACACUUGGCAAAUACAUCAUGAAAGGUUUAACUGAUUUGUCAUUAGCAGUUUUGUCAGUUGAAGGCUGUUACUGGCAGUUUUCCUUUGCCAACAAUGACGUUUUAUUGCCAAUGGGUUAAAAGUUGUUGUUUUCAGACUACCUGUUACAGCAGCAAUCCCUUUUACUCAGGUUGGGGCAAAAGAAACUUAAGCACCUCAAAGAAUCAAAUGCUAGGAGAGUUCCCGUGCCUAGUGGAUAUAGGAAAAAUGGAAUAUGCUGUUCCAAUGUCACUACAGUUUCUCAACUGUAAAAUGCCAGGGAUGAAUGCAGAUAGGGCAGUAGGGUUAAACUAACAUCUGGUACGAAUAUUUCUACUUGGAAGCGUUUAUGCUUAAGGCAAGAACUGGGUUAGAGAUGAGGCUUGAGUAAAUUUGUUGGAGAAUCUAAUAGGUCCUCAAAGAAGAGUGACUGCCUAUCUCUACAUACCCUUCUUUGUGUUCUGACCGAGAUGUGGACUUGGCCUCUGCCUUCCUCUCAGACGUUGCUGCAUCAUUUCCAGGCUUCCCUUCAAUUUGAAUGACUCAAUGGUGUACAAAUGAGACAGAGUAAGGUUGCAUCGUUCCUCAACAAAUUUAAGUGUCAAAUGGAUCAAGUGCUCCAUUUUUUCUGGGUUUUCUUGUCCCCUCUGAAGAACAUCUGGGUUAUACGCAAUAUCUAUAAUGCUGUAAAGGUCUAUAAAAGUAAGUUAUGUGUCAGAAUUAUUGCUACGGCACCAUGUGUAGCAUGGUCUUUAUAGCGUGUUCUUUAUAGUCACUUGGUUUUAAGAGCAAAGGAGAGUAAUUCGUGGCUUCUGGGCAGAGCCGACUCUUAUCAACCUCAUCUAGAGAAACACCCCGAGCUAAGAGCUGGCCACGGCACAGCACCACCCCCUGUUACAGCGACAAUCUGCGUGUGCUCGCCACGCAAUGCAGCAGUGCAGGAAGAAACGCAUCCGGGGCGAGGCACAACUGUUCUGGGACGUACCUCCUUCGCCAGACACCUCUAACGGCCCCGCACUGACCGGUGUGGGGCCAGCGGGGCCCUUGGGCGCCGGGACCCUUCUCCAGCUGCAGACAUUGAUGAACAGCGGCCUCCCGACGCCACCCUGCAAGAGACCGACCCGCGGCUGAGCGCUCCGCCCCGCAGCACCCGGGCGGGAGGCCGAGCCCACGACCCCGCGCACCCACCGCGGGACGCGCCCGCAGGCACAGAUUCAGGAAGAGACAGAAAUGUGGAAAAUAAGGGAGUGGGAGAAGCAAACAGAAGAGACUUACUGGAAAAGGCAGAGCAGAAUGCUGUCAGACACCUCCAGCAGUCGGAUGCGCAGCGAUGGCUUUGAUGAGGAGGGCCACAGGGCUGACUGGAAAACAAAGAACUCGCAAUUUCUUGACCUAGUUGAAGAUGAUCUCCUCAGGGCCCGAUCCUGGAAUAAAAAGCUGUAUGAAUGUGAAGCCAACAUGCCAGACAGAUGGGGUCACAGUGGCUAUAAAGAGUUGUAUCCUGAAGAAUUCGAUACGGAUAGUGACCAGCAAGAAGGAGAUGAACAAAGUGCUAUUAAUGGGAAGAAGAAAUCUCAUCUAGGAAAGCAAACUGCCCGUGAAUCUCACAAACGGAAAAAAACCAAGAAAUCGCACAAGAAGAAGCAAAAAAAGCGCUCACACAAAAAGCGAAAGAAAAAGAAAAAGGAGCAGGGGAGAACAUCAUCAGAUUCUUCCCAGGAGAGUGAGUGCUCAGAAGAGGAGACUUCAAGCACCCGAAAAGGGAAACACAAGCGCAAGAAAAAGACCAGGAAAGUGCCUGCCAGGGAACCUACCUCCUCUUCUGGGCAGGAAAGUGACUUUUCUCAUGCAAGCAGCUCAACCACCAGCAGCUCUGAGGACAGUGAAUCUGAGGAGAAAAAAGAGAAACGGCCCCAAAAAAAGAGAAAGAAACGUCACAAUUCUGUGUCAGAGAGGCACAGUGAAGUACCAGAGAAGAGAAGCAAGAGGAAGAACUGGAAAGUGGCUGCUGAUGAAAAAUCAGAGGAUAGCUCGGAUGAGGACUGAUGAGUCUAGGCUGCAGAUCAAACAAUAAGGUAGAGGACAGAGGCAGGUAUUUAUCUUUCAGCACUGCCCCAUGGUACAAUUUGUUUCAACACUGUGGUUUAUAUACAUCCUGCCAGCCCACAGGGGAGAGAAUGAGCCUUGGCAGCCUGCAAUAGGUGCCCCCUUGCUUUUCAUUGACCUGACAUUCAGAAGACCAGGGGAGCAGUUGCAUGCCUCACAGGUUGGCUAGUCCUGACAACUUCGGAUUCUUUUUCUGUGAUCUCUGAUGCAAGAAAAUGUUACAGGUUAUCUGCAGGGGAAAAACAGGUGUGUUUACACCAGGGUUUUUUUGGUUUUUUGUUUUAUUUUUAUUAAGUUUUAACAGAUUGCUUUUUUGGGUUACCAAAUCAAUGUCCAAGACUUGCAGUAGGAGAAGGGGAGAGACAAAAAGUCUGGUAACAGAGGAAAUGUCACUGCAUUUAACCCUACAGUAGCUUUGUCUUCCCAUCUUCCAACAAAAGCAGACCUGUGUGUUGGCAUGCACACGGUCAGCUGGGCACAGAAGGGAGCAUGAGGGAAUACCCUCAUUCCAGCUGAAGGUGCAGUGACUCCUUCCAUAAUGAUGAAGAACAGACACCAGUGCAUUCGUGUGUUUUAGACUACUCUCCAAAUCCUGGCAUGGGCUGGCCAUUGUGUCUGCCUUCCCUUCAUUCUCUCUAGGGGGAUGCUGAAACCAUUUGUGCUGACAGAGGAGCCAUGGUGGGUGUUGUGUUCUGUCUCUGGUCUGCCCAGUGUAUUACUGGAGAAAUUGGUACUGGGCCGUUCUCCCUGCAGUUGAACAGCCAAGCCUUUUAACAGAAUAAAUAAAUCCAGACA